rnacentral:lncRNA from 1 species
CAGAUGAAGGAUGUCUGGGUAAAGCUGAACCCGAGAAAUGCAAUUGCUGUGUAUGUAGAAGGAAGGCUGCACUUGUAGAACUUGCUGCCUCCCUAAUGCCAGGCUCUUUGAAGAUACUCUCAUGUUUGUAUUUUUGGCUCUUCUGGAUUCCCGAAUAUCCGUACUGGGGAGAUAAAUCACAACUGUGUACAAGAUAUGCACUGAGAAGGCAGCUGCAUGAGUUGUAGAGUAAAGCUUUGCACUGUGAAAACACCAAGAGACUGCUAAAGGCUAUUGAUACAGCAACACGUUUAACUAUUUCUUUCAGAGUCUGGAUCCACCUCCUGUGCAAGUGCAGUAUCUUGCAUUCAUGAGCUCCCCAAAGUGUCAGUGUUUGGCAUCCUGGCUGUCCUCGAGGGACAGGCAAGCUGACAGGGCCGUUUCUCCCUAUGGGCACUGUACAGUGCUGAAAGUCUUGCCUCGACUGGACCUCUGUCUGCCGUCUUUUCUCCUGUAUUAAGAUUGUGAAGCUGUUUGCCCAUGUGUAUAUUGUGCUGACCCCAACUGUUCCGGAGCCAUCCUAGUACAACUACUAAAUAAUAACAACCA